rnacentral:rRNA from 1 species
UUGCCCAGACAACUAGGAUGUUGGCUUAGAAGCAGCCAUCAUUUAAAGAGUGCGUAAUAGCUCACUAGUCGAGUGACACUGCGCCGAAAAUGUACCGGGGCUAAACAUAUUACCGAAGCUGUGGAUUAUCCGUAAGGAUAAUGGUAGGAGAGCGUUCUAAACGUGUCGAAGCAUGAUCGUAAGGACAUGUGGAAUGUUUAGAAGUGAGAAUGCCGGUGUGAGUAGCGAAAGAUGGGUGAGAAUCCCAUCCACCGAUUGACUAAGGUUUCCAGAGGAAGGCUCGUCCGCUCUGGGUUAGUCGGGACCUAAGCCGAGGCCGAUAGGCGUAGGCGAUGGAUAACAGGUAGAUAUUCCUGUACCACCUAUGAUUGUUUGAACGAUGGGGGGACGCAGUAGGAUAGGCGAAGCGUGCUGUUGGAGUGCACGUCCAAGCAAUAAGACUGAGUGUUAGGCAAAUCCGGCACUCGUAAGGUUGAGUUGUGAUGGGGAGUUGGAUCAUGUAUCCGACGAGUCGUUGAUUUCACACUGCCAAGAAAAGCCUCUAGUUAGAAAAUAGGUGCCCGUACCGCAAACCGACACAGGUAGUCAAGAUGAGAAUUCUAAGGUGAGCGAGCGAACUCUCGUUAAGGAACUCGGCAAAAUGACCCCGUAACUUCGGGAGAAGGGGUGCUUUUUAGGGUGCAAGCCUUGAAGAGCCGCAGUGAAUAGGCCCAAGCGACUGUUUAUCAAAAACACAGGUCUCUGCUAAACCGUAAGGUGAUGUAUAGGGGCUGACGCCUGCCCGGUGCUGGAAGGUUAAGAGGAGUGGUUAGCUUCUG